UACGGGUUUGAAACAACAUGAGGGUGAGUAAAUUAAUUUUGGGGUGACCUAACCCUUUAAUAAAUUCCAAACAUUCAUAAAUAGGGCACACAUGUACAAGCCUAUUCACAUUUAGCAUAGUACAACUUAGUGUUUUACAUGUACAGGAACACUGUGUGGGAUUGUUGGACUUCUUUCUGAGGUUUGGCUCCAGUAUAUUUAUGUCAGAAUGACUUUACAAAUGAUUUACACAAUUCAUUCUGCUCCAUUUUCAGGAAUAUGGUUCAAUGUGAAUUGCUAUUUACAACCCAUUUAAAUACAUAAUCUGGCAUAUUUCUGUUCAAAACGGGAUGUUCAAUGAGAAAAAAAUAGGUGGGAUUUUAUCCAUUGUGAACUGAUUGAAAAAUAGAAGUCUAAUUCGCUGCUGAUUCCUUCGAGAUUUUCCUUUGGGGCUUUUCAAUUUGUGAGUAAAAAAGGUCUGUGGUAAACAUAACUUGACGAUAGUUUGCCGUUUUGUUCUCCACAGCACACUCACACCCCAAACUGCCUUAUCUAGAUACUUAUUAAAAAUGUGCAUUUUCAAAAAUGAACAUAACUGCUUCAAAAUUUGCUUUUCAGUAUGGGUGUGUAAUUUACAUUGUAGAACAAAACGUCAAAGUAUUGUCAAAUUAUAUUUACCACAGGCUUUAUUUUACUCAUAAAUUGGAAAAACCCAUUAGAAACCCCAUAGGAAAAUCUUGAAGGAACCAGCGGCGAGUUUGGCUAGCCCUAAUAAUGGCAAACUGAACUGAAAUCAGUGUUGGUGAGUAACUAGCUAAAGAUAGUGACUCUUUUAUACUAAACAAUAACUGAUUUUAAAAUAGUAGCUUUUCCUGUAGAUCUCCACCUUUUUAACAAGUACUCAGUGUAGCUCGAUCAAAUACUAAACUGUUCAUUGUAAUGUUACAAUUCCAAAAUCACUUUGUUCACAGUUAUUGUGCCAUAAAAGCUUGUUAUAUUAUCAAUUAGAUAAGUAGAUGGCUAUUUAAAAAGAUAUGUUUUUUUUUUUUUUUUUUUUUAAGUAGCUUCAGUGCUACUUGCUAUUUUCUAUUAACAGUUAGUGUAGCUAAUUACUUUUUUAAAAGGGUCGCUUGAAUGUUGAACUGCUUUAAAUUCUGAUUAGCUUUUCACUUGGCAAGCUGCAAUUUCAAAGUAGCUUCUGGCUGGAACAGAUCUCAGAUCAACAGAAACAGUACAUUUGGACCAAUAAAUGACUGUGGUUAAUCUGUUGUGUAGCGACAUCCUGAUAUAGCUUCACUAUGUGACAGAAAAGAAGAACAGAGUUCAUUUUCAAUCUGUUGUUGAUUUAAUUGUAGCCCAUGCCGCCGCUGGCUCAUUGAUUUAACAUUUGGAGCUGGUCUGAGAUCAGCUGAAGUGCAGCGGUGAAUGACAGCACUCCAGUGGUGCGGGGAAGCUGAGGUGAAGCCUGCCAGACCGGGCACACCUGGGCCUGCAGGCAGAUGGUAAGGGCUCUGAGAGGUUACGCAAAACCGUGCCCAGCCAUAUGUCUUUCAACAGUACAGAAACUUCUGGAAGCCGCGAGAGCUCCAUCACGGCUGCGACCCGAACGAGUGCAGACUGAGCGUGUUCCAGCAUGAUCCCAGACCAGGUGUUGGGCAAAUUGUUUCCUUGCGCCUUCCUGAUUGGAGAGCGGCUGGAGAACAAGAGGAGGGCCGCAGCAGCCACAUGGAUGAGUCAUUGACCUUUAGCUGAGAACAGGGCCGUCAUGAGGAGCCUAAAGAUGAUGCAUUCAAAGUUUCAGGGAGUUUAAAGGACCCCAUUUGCUUACCAUGAUGUCAUUCCAAAAAGGAGAUGUUUUGAAGAAUGUCCUAACUGCUUAUUUACACCUAAAAUGAAGAUCAAUGGGGAUGAAUGUUGUCAAGCUUCAAAUAGGACAAAAAAAGCAGCAUAAAAGUAUCAUAGUAUGACUCGUACAUUAUGUUCCAAGUCUUCUGAAACCAUAUGAUAGCUUUGUGUGAGGAACAGACAAAAAUGGAUCUCGUUUUUCAAUUUCUCUUCACUUCUGAGAUCAAACGUCAGUCUUUAUAACCCUACCGCAUGACUUAAGAUGGUGUUUUUGAUUUCAGUUGGUGCUUUCCAAAUGGUGUUGAAGGCACUCAAGUAUUUGAAGAACAUGACCCCAGUCAUGCGUCUUGCUUCAGUUUGUGCAUAUGAUGGGAAAUCCAACAAAUGCAACCUUGAAAUCAAGAGUAUCGGCUACUAGUCAUGCUUCUUGUAAGAGAAAACCACCUUAUUUGCACUCCCCAUGGAUCCUGCUCCAUUGGAAACUCUUGUCUUGAGGUUUUUUAACAAAAGAUGAAGGUCCAGCAGCUGUUGCUUUGGAUGGAAGAAUCAGACUUGGAGUCUGAGGUUAGAACAAUAGUAGAAAUGCCAAAAGGAAUAUUUUCUGUCACUUGCUAAUGCAAAAAAUAUGCUUCAUUUGCCACUCAAAAUUACAUUUUAAAUGGUAUCUGAUGUUUGCCCAUUCAAACAGCAUUUUUCAGAAAUCCAGAAAGGAUACAAAGGCACUCUUAUGCCCAUAUUUUGAACUUUGGGCUAUUUUUAGCCCCAGGAUUUAGGCUUAAGUGAUCUCUGAGCUCCUUAGACUUUCAUUCUUGACUAAUUUUUCAUGGUAGAUUUCUGUACUAUGGUAAUACUGAGUCUAGAAGAGAAGCAAGCUUAACCAUACGCCAAGCAUGUAUAUUUUCACCAAUCCUAUAUUUUUUCCAGCAAAUAUGCAUACAAAAUUGGGAGAGGAAAAGAGGAUGAGUAAAACAAACGCAGCCAAAAUGUCUGUGAUAUGACUGAAAAUAAAUACCUUUAUAAUGCAGAUGUUUGUCAACCAGAAUAAAUUAGAUUUGAAUUAUUAUACAUAUCGAACGAUUAUAAAACAUCAUCAUAUAUAUAUAUAUGAUGUUUGACCGUUCAUCGCUCUAAUCACCAAAGACCCUAUAGCUCUUCUUUCCAAACACAAUGCCAGUCUGUGCUAAUGGCAGUGCCAGCCGUGUCUGCGAAGCCCUCAGGAAUGAUUGAUAGAUAGAAUUAUAUCAAGGUGACUUCUCUUCCCCUCCAUCAGGUUGUUUAGCUUGAUCGAUAAUAAGAAACACGUUUAAUAGGCAGAGCUGAACAGUAAAAGCCCAUUUAUCAGUGCAGUUAGCAUCUCCUCCCGCUGUCCCCAAGAUGACACCAGACCAUAAACCUAUGGGCUAUAUAGUCACUGAAAAUUAUAUUUAAUAUAGUAAUAUAUUGUAUAAUAUACUAAUAUAUUACUGAAAUUCUCAAGGAGAUUCUACUUUGUUACUGUUUGCAUGUUUUUGCAUCAUUUGUCCUUUUUCCUUUCUCUCUGUAUAUAAAAAUGAAGAUUUGAAAAACAUAUUAGCAGUCGAAUCUAAUAUGCUAAUGGAUGAAAUGAAAACAAAAACCAAACAAAAGGGAAAAAAACAAAACAAAAACCUUUAGUCAACUUCAAUUUAGUGACUGAUUUAACUGAUAGGCCAAAUAAAUUAGAAUUCAUAUGCAAAAGCUGCUUCCCCAGAGAGCUUUUUA